CCUACGGGAGGCAGCAGUGGGGAAUUUUGGACAAUGGGCGCAAGCCUGAUCCAGCAAUGCCGCGUGCAGGAUGAAGGCCUUCGGGUUGUAAACUGCUUUUGUACGGAACGAAACGGCCCUUUCUAAUACAAGGGGCUAAUGACGGUACCGUAAGAAUAAGCACCGGCUAACUACGUGCCAGCAGCCGCGGUAAUACGUAGGGUGCGAGCGUUAAUCGGAAUUACUGGGCGUAAAGCGUGCGCAGGCGGUUAUAUAAGACAGAUGUGAAAUCCCCGGGCUCAACCUGGGACCUGCAUUUGUGACUGUAUAGCUAGAGUACGGUAGAGGGGGAUGGAAUUCCGCGUGUAGCAGUGAAAUGCGUAGAUAUGCGGAGGAACACCGAUGGCGAAGGCAAUCCCCUGGACCUGUACUGACGCUCAUGCACGAAAGCGUGGGGAGCAAACAGGAUUAGAUACCCUGGUAGUCCACGCCCUAAACGAUGUCAACUGGUUGUUGGGUCUUCACUGACUCAGUAACGAAGCUAACGCGNGAGUGACGCGNGGNGCGCGCGAGUAGAACGUACAGAGAGUAGCGNGNGAGAGCGACGACGACGACGACGGAGGGAGGAGG
rnacentral:rRNA from 1 species